rnacentral:rRNA from 1 species
UACGUAGGGUGCAAGCGUUAAUCGGAAUUACUGGGCGUAAAGCGUGCGCAGGCGGUUAUGCAAGACAGAUGUGAAAUCCCCGGGCUCAACCUGGGAACUGCAUUUGUGACUGCAUGGCUGGAGUGCGGCAGAGGGGGAUGGAAUUCCGCGUGUAGCAGUGAAAUGCGUAGAUAUGCGGAGGAACACCGAUGGCGAAGGCAGCCCCCUGGGCCUGCACUGACGCUCAUGCACGAAAGCGUGGGGAGCAAACAGG